rnacentral:rRNA from 1 species
GACGAACGCUGGCGGCGUGCUUAACACAUGCAAGUCGAACGGAAAGGCCCUGCUUGCAGGGUACUCGAGUGGCGAACGGGUGAGUAACACUUGGGUGUUCUGCCCUGCACUUCGGGAUAACCCUGGGAAACUGGGUCUAAUACCGGAAAGGAGCCUUUUUUAUGUUGUUGGUUGGAAAGUUUUUUCGGUGUGGGGUGUGAUCGCGGCCUUUCGGUUUGUUGGUGGGGUAUUGGCCUACCAAGCCGGGGCCGGGUAGCCGGCCUGUUAGGGUGGACGGCCACAUUGGGACUGGGAUACGGCCCAGACGCCUACGGGAGGCAGCAGUGGGGAAUAUUGCACAAUGGGAGCAAGCCUGAUGCAGCGACGCUGCGUGGGGGAUGACGGUCUUCGGGUUGUAAACUCCUUUCGCUAGGGACGAAGCUUUUUGUGACGGUACCUAGAUAAGAAGCACCGGCUAACUACAUG